CCUACGGGAGGCUGCAGUGGGGAAUAUUGCACAAUGGGCGCAAGCCUGAUGCAGCCAUGCCGCGUGUGUGAAGAAGGCCUUCGGGUUGUAAAGCACUUUCAGCGGGGAGGAAGGCGGUGAGGUUAAUAACCUCAUCGAUUGACGUUACCCGCAGAAGAAGCACCGGCUAACUCCGUGCCAGCAGCCGCGGUAAUACGGAGGGUGCAAGCGUUAAUCGGAAUUACUGGGCGUAAAGCGCACGCAGGCGGUCUGUCAAGUCGGAUGUGAAAUCCCCGGGCUCAACCUGGGAACUGCAUUCGAAACUGGCAGGCUAGAGUCUUGUAGAGGGGGGUAGAAUUCCAGGUGUAGCGGUGAAAUGCGUAGAGAUCUGGAGGAAUACCGGCGGCGAAGGCGGCCCCCUGGACAAAGACUGACGCUCAGGUGCGAAAGCGUGGGGAGCAAACAGGAUUAGAUACCCGUGUAGUC
rnacentral:rRNA from 1 species